rnacentral:rRNA from 1 species
GAUGAACGCUGGCGGCGUGCCUAAUACAUGCAAGUCGAGCGAACAGACCCGGCGCUUGCUCCUCUCACGUUAGCGGCGCACGGGUGAGUAACACGUGUAUCCCCUACCUAUCUGACUGGGAUAACUUCGGGACACCGGCGCUUAUCCCGGAUAAUAUCUUGCACCGCAGGGUUCAAUAGUGAAAUUCGGUUUUGCUGUCUCUUAUCGAUGCUUCUGCGCCGCAUUAGCUAGUUGGUACGGUAACGGCUUACCAAGGCGACGAUGCGUAGCCGACGUGAGAGGGUGAUAGGCGACACUGGAACGUGGACACGGUCCAGGCUCCUGCGGGAGGGAGCAGUAGGCAAUCUGCCGCAAUGGGCGAAAGCCUGACGGAGCAAGGCCGCGUGAGUGAUGAAGGUGCUCGGAUCGUAAAACUCGGUUAUGAGUUAAGAACAAAUGUGGAAGUAACCAUGCACGUCUUGACGGUACCUAAUCAGAAAGCCCCGGCUAACUACGUG